rnacentral:lncRNA from 1 species
GUGACAAUUUAUUAUGACGGUAUGGCAGCUCUUGCCUAUAUGAAGGACCCCAAGUAUCAUGGAAAGGCCAAAUAUAUUGAUGUAAAGUAUGAUUAUGUUCAUGAGGUGGUGAGGUAGAAGGAAGUGGUCGUGGAACAUGUUUCUACAAGUUUCAUGGUUGCUGACCCUCUGACAAAGCUUAUUCAUCGAGAUGUAUUUU